UGGGGAAUAUUGGACAAUGGGCGCAAGCCUGAUCCAGCCAUGCCGCGUGGAUGAUGAAGGCCCUAGGGUUGUAAAGUCCUUUCGAUGGGGAAGAUAAUGACGGUACCCAUAGAAGAAGCCCCGGCUAACUUCGUGCCAGCAGCCGCGGUAAUACGAAGGGGGCUAGCGUUGCUCGGAAUCACUGGGCGUAAAGCGCACGUAGGCGGAUCUUUAAGUCAGGGGUGAAAUCCCGGAGCUCAACUCCGGAACUGCCUUUGAUACUGGGGAUCUCGAGUUCGGGAGAGGUGAGUGGAACUGCGAGUGUAGAGGUGAAAUUCGUAGAUAUUCGCAAGAACACCAGUGGCGAAGGCGGCUCACUGGCCCGAUACUGACGCUGAGGUGCGAAAGCGUGGGGAGCAAACAGG
rnacentral:rRNA from 2 species